UUCAUCGAUCUUUUGAAGGUCGAUUUCACCUUGAUCCAUGAUUUUUCAGACUAGGUGGUAGCGACGUAGAAUGUGCUUGGUUCGCUAAUAUGACUUUGGUUCCUUUGCUUGAGCAAUGGCGCUAGUGAUGUCACCGUACAACAAAACAGGGCCAUCAAGGGAGGGUGCCACUCUGAGCUUGUUGAUAAAUUUUCAUAACCACAUAGCUUCCUUC
rnacentral:lncRNA from 1 species